rnacentral:rRNA from 1 species
AACGAACGCUGGCGGCAGGCUUAACACAUGCAAGUCGAACGCCCCGCAAGGGGAGCGGCAGACGGGUGAGUAACGCGUGGGAACAUACCCAUCACUACGGAAUAACUCAGGGAAACUUGUGCUAAUACCGUAUACGACCGAGAGGUGAAAGAUUUAUCGGUGAUGGAUUGGCCCGCGUUGGAUUAGCUAGUUGGUGGGGUAAAGGCCUACCAAGGCGACGAUCCAUAGCUGGUCUGAGAGGAUGAUCAGCCACAUUGGGACUGAGACACGGCCCAAACUCCUACGGGAGGCAGCAGUGGGGAAUAUUGGACAAUGGGCGCAAGCCUGAUCCAGCCAUGCCGCGUGAGUGAUGAAGGCCUUAGGGUUGUAAAGCUCUUUCACCGGAGAAGAUAAUGACGGUAUCCGGAGAAGAAGCCCCGGCUAACUUCGUGCCAGCAGCCGCCGUAAAAC